UAGCAGCACAUCAUGGUUUGCAGGGCUGCUUUCAUAACUCAAGCCAUUAUUUGCUGCUGUA
rnacentral:pre_miRNA from 1 species